GAAGAUCACACUAUGUCUAUCCCCAGCACAGCUCUGAAUGAAAUGUUCACCUCAAAAGCUUCAGCACUGCAGUUUAUUGGGGAGGUGGACAGUGCAUGGGAUCCCCAACCCUGGAUGUCAGGGACCCUUCCAACUUGGUAGCGGUCUUCGUUGCUAGAUCAAACAACUCCGGGCGGCAGUGGACCUCUGGCUUCAGAGGGGUGCAAUGCCUUAUUCAGGGUUGAGCAGCAGCUGCGAGUCCGAGCCAGAUGCAAAGCUUCUUGGAAAAAGUACUAAAACUCAAGUGCCUUCUAAGAACCCAGAAAAAACAAAUUGCUGCACUCAUGACGGUCCACAAGGCUGAUAAGCAGGGCCUCAAGGACCGUGUCCUGCAUCCGCACACAUGCCGCCUACUUGGAUGAUGUUAUCAUCCAUAGUAAAAGCUGGUGGGAGCAUAUGCAGAGUGUGAUAGCGGUGUUCGAGUCACUGAGGCAGGCUGGGCUCACUGCCAAAUGAGCCAAAAAGUGUGCAGUUGGACGGAGGGAGGUACGGUAUCUGGGGUACCACUUGGGCAGUGGGCAGGUGCAUCCUCAAGUAGAUAAGACAGCAGCAAUUGCAGCCAGCCCAAGGCUUGUACCUUGAGUACAGUGUAAUGUUGCACUCCUCAGAGGAGCUUCCCUCCCCUCCCUUUUCCUGUGCCUCAAGCAUUGUGACCUACUUAUGUCAUUCCCUUAGCUGUCAGCUGCCUUACCUCAGUUGCCUUACCUCUCCCUUUCACACACGAUCACUUAAGGUAAUCUGUUUAGCUGGACUUAGCUCAUGUACAGUGGUUUAUCUUCAAGUCUGAUUUCUAGGAAUGUAGUAGCCUGACUGUUUUUACCAGAGUUGUAGCAUAAACCACCUGGACUCACGUUGACGAUUGUGUCUAAGAGAGAAUAAUUGCGGGCCAGAUAGUUAAGUGACAUGAUUGGCCAAUGGGGAACAAAAAGAGCAAACUUUACUGAUCCAAAUAUUGUUUUUUAAGCUGUAGGUCCACAAAAUGUUUAGGUAAAUUUUUUUUGCUAUACUCAAAGAGCAAUGAGUAUAUUUUUUUAGCAUGUGAUAGUUGAUACAGAUAUAGGAAAGGAUUGAUUUUGAGAUGAGAAAUGAAGGCAAAGAGAAAAGUGUCAAAGAAAGACUUAGAAGAUGUGGAAGAACACUGGAAGGAACUGAAUAUGUGGAAGAAUGAAGCAGAAAGUAGGCAAAGGAAAAAACAUGAUAAACAAAUGCCAUUUCAUCCACAAGAUGAUGAUGAUACUGAAACCACUGACAAAGCAACAGACAAAUCUUCUCAGAAAAAUUCUUUUCUGUACCGUACAGUGCCUCAGUGUUUCAGAAUGGACCACAUUCUCGACCACGCCCCUCCAAUAGUGCCACCUCCACCUCACCAACCUUGGUCCUUCACCCUCGCAGCCUGUGCCACACGUGCCCAACUAACAACUACAACAUCUCCCUUCUCAACUACAACCGACGGAGAGGAGGAAGUAGAAGGGGAUAUAGUAAAGAUGUAGGACAUUUUGGACAGAACUAAACAACCCUGUGCACUGACAUUGAAACAGCUUUCCCGCCACCUAUGGACAGCCAAAGUCUCCGCCUGCAAAUAGAAAAGACGAUGAAUCUGUUUCUAAGUAACUCGCUAACCUCACUGACGUUUACGACAUCCACAGUGGUCUUGUACAACCAGCUGACCUCUGCAACACUGUUUCUACCUGGUAAACCCACCUGCGAGACAACUUUUUGAAGGGUGUUCAUGCUGACGUUCAAGAAGCAACCAAAACCAGCUAUUGGUGUUGUACGUGACUUUGGUGCAUUGUGUAAAUACAGAAAUUUCCUCAAAUCUGACGGUAUCUGACAUCAUGACAGAGUGGCUACAUUGUUGGAUGCUGUUCUCUUGCUGAAGGAUAUUGCUGUGUGUCAAGCUCAUACUAACAGCUCUGAUCCAGUCUCAAUAGGAAAUGCAGGAGCGGAUGCACACGUCAUGCUGAUCGGCACAGAUGUUCCAUUCUCACUUGCUGCUAUGCAACAGUCUUCUACUGUUGAAGAAAGACACUUUUGGGAGAAAAAUGGUUGCACACUUAAGAAUUACAUUUGGUUUGGCCCAUAAUAAUAAACUUUGCCUUCCAAAACAUUUAUUUCCCCACUUUGCCAAGCUAAAGUGCCUCCAAAGAUAAGCAGUGAUAAUGGAACGCCAUUUGUGAGUGAAGCUGUUAAGCAACUGGGACAUUUCCUUGAAAUUGAUUCGGGACAACAUUGCUCCUACCACCCAGCAAGUGGGAGAGUUGUGGAAAGAGAAAAUGGUACUUUGUAAGCAAAACUUGCCACAUGUUGUGAAGAAACAGGUGUAUCGUGGACAAAGUUAUUGUCAAUUGCCCUGUACAUGAAAAUGAGAAAGGGAGCAUGGACUAAUCUCAGUCCUUUUGAGAUCCUCUUUGGGAGACCACCUCAUUUGGGAAUGAUACCUGUAAACAGACCGUGUCCUGAAUAAGCUUACCAUGCUUAUUACGCUUGUGGAAAAUCCACUGGUUCAAGUGAAGAUUGUGAACUACACGUGCCAACAGGGGAGGAGAUGAUGUCAGCGGGAUACGGGUGGCACGUUUGAUAGGGUGUGUCAAGGGUUAAACUCACAGAUCACAACACUCCACACACUAAUCACUAAGUGUUUUCUGAUAAUCUGUUGGCAUGGUUAAGUGUUUUAAGGAGUGCUUUUGUAUCCGGUUAAUGUGUAAACUAAUUUUUUUUUUUUUAUUGCCUUUUUUCAGAAAUGUUUUUCGUUAUUAUUUGAAAUUAAUUGUCACUGACGUUUCUUGGACAUGCAUCACCUGUCUAGGCCCUCUCCAGAUAAUUAUGAGCUGGCAUAUAAUUAAUCCUUAAGAAGGAUUGGAGAAUAGACAGUGGUCAAAGACUACUACUUUCUGUUGCAACAGGCUAAAGCUUGAAAAGAUCCCCUUUCUUUAUAAUUAAGUUUUGUGGUGCCAUCAUGUGGCAGUGUAGCUGGAGUGACUGCACUUCUACAGUAUAUGAUGAUGGCCAUGCACCACCUGCAAAGGCUAACCUGAAGCCUCCACACAAGCCCUGUAAGAACCCCUCUUUUAUUGCAACUCACAUUGUACCUGCCUCUUCCACCAGGCUAAAGUCUUCUUUGUUUUCUUCAUCCAUUUAUAAUCUAACCUCUUCUAAAGCUUUGUGUGUAUAUCCUAAAACACAUCUGAAGCAUGGGGUGAAAAUAAACAAAAGCCAAACUUAGAUACUUCUGUAAGAAGAAAACAGUUGGGUCACAGGUCUAAUUCAUUACAAGUAACAGCAUGCAGUAACACAUCUCAGUCAGACACUGUCUCUUCUCAGUUGAAUGCUAAAUUUUCAUUGGCCCUGAUAACCACAGCUUUCUCUGGUCACAAUCCACCUGCUGAGACCAGGAUGACUGGGGUCUGUAGAAAGUCUAGGUAUAGAUUAUCCUCUUCCACUAGCAGAACCUGAGGAAUUGCAUAUUAAUGUCUGUAGGAGCUCUAGUAAUAGAGCUCAGGGCAUACCUGCCAGGGCCCAGCGCUCACACUUGAAAUCAUGUUGCAGGUGAUGAGAUAAUGUAGCCAAUGGAUCUAUUCUCUAUACUAAAGUACUUUAUCUAUAUCUAUACAUUAUGUUAUAAAAAAUAUAUUUAUACUAGUACUACUACUACUAAUACUAGUAAUAUACUUCAUAUAUUAGCCUAUUUAUAUUUUGUUUAGAACUAAUGCUUAUCGGGUGUUUGAAUUGUUUGGUUUUCAGCCUUUACUCCUAGAUGAACCUGAGUGAUGACCAACCUGAUGACCAAAGUUAUGUCGUGUUAUGUUAUGUUAUGUUACUCAAGCCCACAUCUAACAUAUUUUCCUGCCCUCCUGUCUAUCUUUCCAUCCAGCCUCCUCACUCUGAUGCCCGUAUGUUUAAUAUAAUGCAUGGGUGGACAAGAGGCAGCCCCACCAUCCUUUUCACUGUCUUUCUGUCUCCCACAUCCCUCUUCCUCAGAUUCUCCCUUAAUCAACUCCAGCUAGGACAGAUGCUGGCAACACUUCAGACUGAAAGGCUUAGACCUCUCCCCUCUAUCCCCCCCAAAUCUUCUCUACAUUUUCUAACAUCCAUUGUGUACCCAACUCUUCUUUCUUAUCUCACCUCUGCACAAUCUGUGCUAUAACUCUGGCUGUUGCUAACAUGUCUUGACAGCUCUUAUGUGUACUAAGUAGAGGCAAAUGCACCACAGGGUCAGGUAAUGGCUCAGCUAAGUCUACCCCCUGCCAGGAUGUGGCCAUAUCCUGUAGCCCUCAGUCCAGAACAAAAACACUCUACACCUUUAAUUCUCAUUAAUCUGACAGUACCCCAUACAAAUUAGGCAGUAACUGUGCACACAGAUGCAGCUGCACACACAUGUACCAGACAAGUGUGAAACAUCAUUAUUACUGAGGACUGUUCAUUAUUGGGCAACAGAUUGUUUGUCUCAGAAACAUUAAGAGUUUAAUUACAAAUAUGACAUCUUUUCUGCCUGAAUUGUGUCAUGUGGGCACCAAUCAUGCAACAGUCUGACCCAGGACCUUUGUUGCCUCUACUCCCUUUCAGUGUUUCCUAUUUCUGUAUUCUUUAAUCUGCAAAUUAAAAAGGUCAAACAAAAAAGAAUUAAUUAUUUGAAAGUGCUAUCUUACAAAGAAACAUAUGAAUAGUUAACACUGAGUCUCUCAUCAACGUGAAUAUGGCUUAGAUCAGACAGAGACAAAAAAGGGGGGAUGAAUGGAAAGGGGGGUAGCUGAGAGGUGAGGGAGGGUUGUGAAGGGAAGGAAAGAGAGGAAAGAGUGUUACGGUUUUUUUGUAUAUAUCGAUCUAUAUAUACUGUAUAUAUAUAUAGAGAGAGAGAGAGAUAGAUUUAUAGGGUCUUUUAUUACCUUAAAUUGAUAGUGACAGCUGAGGAAAGAGACAGGAAAUGGAGGGAGAGAGAGAGAGGAUGACACGCAGCAAAUGACUCAGCCUUGGUACUCAUUGUGUUAAAAUUGUCAAAAAUUUUACCAUACAUCUUCCUGUGCUCCAUCUAUAAAGCAGUAGUAACACAAGUAAAUCAGUACUCAUGUUCAUUUGUUGUUUGACCUUUGACUUUAAAAUUAAGUGAAAAUCCAGGAUUAUUUCCGUUGUAUUAGACUGACAUUUUCUUUAUAAAAUCAAAAUGUAAUGUAAUGUAGCAUAACUACAUACUGGCUAUUAAAUGUUCUAUUUAGCUCAGAAAUGUAAAUGUAUUAUAAAUAAUAUAAGGCAAAAGGACCAGCCUGUAACAAUUGUAUUAUUUAAAUCUUAAUUUACCCACCAUUCAGAAAGAGGUUAUGUUUAUUUGUUCCAGAUCAGUGUGAGUGUAAAAGAAUUCCUAUGAUAAAAUGUAUGUUCAACUUUUACCCUGCAGUGCUGAUGUUUAUGGGGUAACAAAUAGCACCAAUUAGACUUCAAUACAUACAAUUAAGAGAAAAAAAAUGUAAUGAUGGAAUUUGGAUGGGAGGUUGAUCAUACCUAACAUUUUUAAAGAUGUGUCAUGAUACAAUGUGUUAGCAGUUUGAUAGACUUACAAGAAACUGACAGAAGUAUUGUUUUGUCAUGUUGAUGUUGAAAGCCUCUGUCUGCUGACUUGUAGAAAGCAUAUAAAAGAGCAGCUGCUUAGUUAAAUUCAAAAAAAUUCAUGAUUGCCAUUAUUUGGAUACCUUUCAGUGUUGCCGUGAGGAAAUAGCGAUGUAUGAUUGAGUAAACUGCAAAAGUCUAACAGUGCAAAAUAAAAACAUUUGAAAGUC